GUCUCAAGACUAAGCCAUGCAUGUCCAAGUAUGAACGCUUCCAUACUGUGAAACUGCGAAUGGCUCAUUAAAUCAGUUAUAGUUUAUUUGAUGGUUCCUUGCUACUUGGAUAACCGUAGUAAUUCUAGAGCUAAUACAUGCAGAAAGUCCCGACUCUCCGGGAAGGGACGUAUUUAUUAGAUCCAAAACCAGCGCGAGUUCCCUCCGGGGAACUCGGUUGCUCGGUGAUUCAUGAUAACUGCUCGAAUCGCAGGGCCCCCGUGCCGGCGAUGAUCCAUUCAAAUUUCUGCCCUAUCAACUUUCGAUGGUACGGUAGUGGCCUACCAUGGUUGCAACGGGUGACGGAGAAUUAGGGUUCGAUUCCGGAGAGGGAGCCUGAGAAACGGCUACCACAUCCAAGGAAGGCAGCAGGCGCGCAAAUUACCCAAUCCCGACUCGGGGAGGUAGUGACAAUAAAUAACAAUGCCGGGCCAGUUCGGUCUGGCAAUUGGAAUGAGCACAAUCCAAACCCCUUAACAAGGAGCAAUUGGAGGGCAAGUCUGGUGCCAGCAGCCGCGGUAAUUCCAGCUCCAAUAGCGUAUAUUAAAGUUGUUGCAGUUAAAAAGCUCGUAGUUGGAUUUCGGGGCGGCCCGGUCGGUCCGCCGCGAGGCGUGUACUGGUCGGGCGCCCUUCCUCUCGGAGGCCCCGGCUGCUCUUCGUUGCAGCGGUCGGGGAGUUCGGGACGUUUACUUUGAAAAAAUUAGAGUGUUCAAGGCAGGCU
rnacentral:rRNA from 1 species